rnacentral:rRNA from 1 species
GCGAAAUUCCUUGUCGGGUAAGUUCCGACCUGCACGAAUGGCGUAACGAUGGGGGCGCUGUCUCUACCCGAGACUCAGUGAAAUUGAAAUCGCCGUGAAGAUGCGGUGUAUCCGCGGCUAGACGGAAAGACCCCGUGAACCUUUACUAUAGCUUCACAGUGAACUUUGAGCAUGUUUGUGUAGGAUAGCUGGGAGGCUUUGAAACCUAGGCGCUAGCUUAGGUGGAGCCAAUCUUGAAAUACCAGCCUGGUACUAUUGGGGUUCUAACUCUGGACCAUUAUCUGGUUCGAGGACAUUGUGUGGUGGGUAGUUUGACUGGGGCGGUCUCCUCC